CGUGUAGGCGGCUCGUGAAGUCAGGAGUGAAAGCCCGGGGCUCAACCCCGGGACUGCUUUUGAAACCAGCGGGCUUGAGUACAGGAGAGGGAAGUGGAAUUCCCAGUGUAGCGGUGAAAUGCGUAGAUAUUGGGAGGAACACCAGUGGCGAAAGCGGCUUCCUGGCCUGUAACUGACGCUGAGGCGCGAAAGCGUGGGGAGCAAACAGGAUUAGAUACCCUGGUAGUCCACGCCGUAAACGAUGGGUGCUAAGUGUUGGGGGUAUCGACCCCCUCAGUGCUGUAGUUAACGCAAUAAGCACCCCGCCUGGGGAGUACGUUCGCAAGAAUGAA
rnacentral:rRNA from 1 species